rnacentral:tRNA from 1 species
GCAGUGGUGGUUCAGUGGCAGAAUUCUUGCCUUCCAUGCUGGAGACCUGAGUUCGAUUCCCUGCCAGUGCA